CCAUUAUUUUAAGAUGAUUUACUUCCUGACUUAAAUAUAAUAUAGCAGUAGAUCUUUGAGACAAUGCUUUUUUAAUAUUGUCUUCUUUAAUCUUUUUUAUUAUGUUUGGGCUCUUUGUGUUUUUGACAGGCCUUAGGCUACUUUCACAGGGCAGAACAAGUGGAUCCAAACUUCUACAGCAAAAACUUACUUCUUUUAGGAAAGACAUACUUGAAACUACACAACAAAAAGCUUGCUGCUUUCUGGCUAAUGAAAGCCAAGGACUAUCCAGCACACACAGAGGAGGAUAAACAGAUACAGACAGAAGCUGCUCAGUUGCUUACAAGUUUCAGUGAGAAGAAUUGAGAACUUUUCAGAGAAGAUUUAUGAAAUAGCUAAUAAACAUUGCCUUUUCUUUUAAUUCUAAA
rnacentral:ncRNA from 2 species